UGUAGGGGUUGUCAUGACCUCUGUGCCGCCGCUAACGCAUUAAGUAUUCCGCCUGGGGAGUACGGUCGCAAGAUUAAAACUCAAAGGAAUUGACGGGGGCCCGCACAAGCAGCGGAGCAUGUGGUUUAAUUCGAAGCAACGCGAAGAACCUUACCUAGACUUGACAUCUCCUGAAUUACCCUUAAUCGGGGAAGCCCUUCGGGGCAGGAAGACAGGUGGUGCAUGGUUGUCGUCAGCUCGUGUCGUGAGAUGUUGGGUUAAGUCCCGCAACGAGCGCAACCCUUAUUGUUAGUUGCUACCAUUUAGUUGAGCACUCUAGCGAGACUGCCCGGGUUAACCGGGAGGAAGGUGGGGAUGACGUCAAAUCAUCAUGCCCCUUAUGUCUAGGGCUACACACGUGCUACAAUGGCUGGUACAGAGAGAUGCUAAACCGCGAGGUGGAGCCAAACUUUAAAACCAGUCUCAGUUCGGAUUGUAGGCUGAAACUCGCCUACAUGAAGCUGGAGUUGCUAGUAAUCGCGAAUCAGAAUGUCGCGGUGAAUACGUUCCC
rnacentral:rRNA from 2 species